rnacentral:rRNA from 1 species
UACGGAGGGGGCUAGCGUUGUUCGGAAUUACUGGGCGUAAAGCGCACGUAGGCGGCUUUGCAAGCUAGAGGUGAAAGCCCGGGGCUCAACUCCGGAAUUGCCUUUAAAACUGCAUCGCUAGAAUUGUGGAGAGGUAAGUGGAAUUCCGAGUGUAGAGGUGAAAUUCGUAGAUAUUCGGAAGAACACCAGUGGCGAAGGCGACUUACUGGACACAUAUUGACGCUGAGGUGCGAAAGCGUGGGGAGCAAACAGG